rnacentral:ribozyme from 1 species
AUACCAGCAACUCCUGUCCCUACCUCCUCUUGGUAUUGGCUGGGGUACGAGUAACCUUAGGGAAGAUCAGCUAACCAACCCCGGUGGGAACGCUGGUCGUAUGCUGACAGAGAAGG